rnacentral:rRNA from 1 species
UACAGAGGUCUCAAGCGUUGUUCGGAUUCAUUGGGCGUAAAGGGCUCGUAGGCGGUUUGUCGCGUCGGGAGUGAAAACUCAGGGCUUAACCCUGAGCCUGCUCCCGAUACGGGCAGACUAGAGGUAUGCAGGGGAGAACGGAAUUCCUGGUGUAGCGGUGAAAUGCGCAGAUAUCAGGAGGAACACCGGUGGCGAAGGCGGUUCUCUGGGCAUUACCUGACGCUGAGGAGCGAAAGUGUGGGGAGCGAACAGG